ACAAAAGGUUCCAAAACAUAAUUGCAUCAACUUUAAUAUAACAAAUUUCAUACCGCCCAUCUAUUUCAAUACUCGAUAAAAUUCAAUUAUUGAACUGCUUAUCAAGAUACAAUAAAGAAAAUGCAUGAAUUGGCUUGCUCAUAUCCAAAGAUUAUGCUACACUUCACAUGAAAGAGCAAAGGAGAGUUUGACAUGGAUAUGAGUUUGGUACUUUUAACCGAUGACAUCUCAAGCAAUGAGGUCCAAUGCCAAAGAUGGCAAUCAGUGUUGUCAUAAGCGAUCUAGGAUAAGUGACCAAGUGAAAAAAUCAAUGGCGUUAGAAAUCAAAUGAAUAAGCCAAUCAUAAGAUUGCAAAUCCAUGAUGAUACUUUAUCAUCUCAUCUAUGCAAUAUAUCACCUAAACAAACAACUUGACUAUGAGGCAAAGAUACAAAUGAAAUAUAUCACCUCAUCAGUGAAACAUUUGCCAGGAUGUCUAGAAUGAAAAUAAGGCAAAGUUAUAGAGAUACAA
rnacentral:misc_RNA from 1 species